rnacentral:lncRNA from 1 species
UUUAAAAUGGCUGGAUCCGCCCCUGGCUAUACGGUAUGGGUUUAAUGUGAUCAUUAAUAGUUAUCCCACAAUGACGCGGUGUGUCAGUGUAAGAUCACCCCGAUGGCCGGAGGCCAGAGGGUGAUCUAACACUGACACACCAAGUCCGAGUGGGAUAACUAUUUUACAUCCCAGCUGUUUUAGAUUAGACGAAAAACCAUUUACAAUUCAUAAAAUCUAGUUUAGAACGCCACACAACCAUUAUAAUAUACUUUAUAUAUUACUAUAUGAUGCAUACCCUUUGUGACCCCCGAACACGAUGAGUAGUUAUCAAACAAUGUCAACUCGCCCCACUUGCCAAUCGGCCCACACUAUAUCGCCACUAUAUAAAAAAUCGUCACACUCUUGUUUACCGACUCUCCCUACUUUUAAAAAAGUGUAAAAUCAAAUUGAACAAUCAGUCUAAUAUCUCACUUAUUAACGAAAAAGGUUUAAACCCCACUGAAUAAAGGUUUGCCAACUCGACCCAUUUAUCAAAAGAUCUUGCUUCCGUUAAGUAUGUUAAAUUACUGUUCGUUCAUAUCCAGUCGUCCUGGUGUAGUGGUAUGUGUCGUGGCUUGAUAUGCUAAAGGUCUUGAGUUCGAAUCCCAGCAUAUACACUGGAUUUUUUCGACGUGAAUUUUGAUACAUAGUCUUUUUCCGUAUAAUUAAUUAUAAGUUUUACAGUGGAUGUGUCCUUCCCGCCAAAAUGUUUCAGAACAAAGGAAAGCAUGCAUAACAAAGACACUCAAACUGGGGUGAUCUGGUAGGGGUGAUCCGGCUCAGAUCACCCCUGUUAGAACAAAGGAGCUGGGAUGUAAU